GGUGGUGAUUUCGCUAAUUUCAAAGAUCAACUAGUUUAGUCUCUCUCUCGAAGUUGCUUACAGCGUAAGAUUGCGUAAUUAUUUCUACGUUAUAUGAACGUGUGCGUGUGUGCUUUGUUUGGUCACGCUAAUUUUUGUGCUCGGUUGACACUGGUAGGGAGGCUGAGGAUGCAACUCACGCUCGCGUGAUAAAUUGGGCUUCCUCCCCUUGUUCCCGCCUGUCCCGCAGUCUCUGAGAGAAACCUCGCCCAAACCUCCGCAGAAUGGCGGCCUCUCGCGCGCCGACCACCACCCCCGCCGCCGCCGCCGCCGCGGACGGCGGUAUCGAGGAGAACGCGAUGGCCAUCCUCGACUCCUCCGGCAUCAAGGACUCCCGCGAUCUCCACGACGACCGAGCCGCCUUCUUGGAGGCCGUGCGCUCCGCCUGCCUCGCCGCCGACAAUCCCUCGGCCCCCUCGUGGAGAAUGUAUGAUGGUGUUUUCCAGGUUCUUCGAAACAGUAGCUCUCUGGAGCUUGCUGUGGCAAGUUUUCAUCUCUUAAUGGAUUUGGGUAAGCAAUACCCAAGAACAUAUCUGACAGAUUCUGAUGGGCACGAAUCACUAGUUGUAGUCAAAGAGUCUUGGUUACCAUUUCUCAUUGGCAAUGGUUCUCUUAGUAGUGAGAUGGGAGGAACUGCGAGGAUCUCAGAUCACCUAUUUGACCCUUCAAGAUUCUCGUUGCUGAUUGAGGCCAUGGUUGAACCAACUAAUCCCACGGACGAUAAUAAUGGAAUUAAGGCUAUCGAGAAUAUGAUGUUGUUCCAGUAUCUUGUCAACACACUCGAAGCAGAUUUUGUACCUCGUCAUAUUGCAUACAAAAAGUCACUAGACUGGGUGAUCUUCAGGGAAUCCCUGUUAAAUAUGCUUCUGGGAUCACGAAAGCUCGUGUUCAAAUCUUUUGUAAAGGACUGCAUGUAUCUUCUACUCAACCAGUUUCACCCUGAAGCUAAAGAUGCAGUUGAAGGCAGCAUACCUUCUGAAGGAGAAGCUAAAUCAGCAUCUGAUAUGGAUUCUUCCCUAAAUUAUUUAUUGCUGGAGUCAGAAAGGACUCUUGUAUCUCUCCGGAAAUUAUUUGUGAUGGUCAUGGAACUUGAUUUGAUCAGGAAAGAAGCAGACACACUAGGCCUGACUUCAAGAGCUGACGGUUUCAGGUCAUCCAGAAACCCUAUCAUGGAAGUUAUUUUGGAUGAGCUAACUUAUAACAUCAGUUAUUUAUCCCCAUUUCUCUUGGCCUUCAUGGAAUGGAAGUGGAAAUUGGAGAUUAUUUUGCAGUACUUUUCAAAAUACUGUGGCAAGGGCGCAGUUCGUACUCGAAGGUCGGAUAAUUCACAACAAGAUUUGAAAUUGGGAAGUGUCCUGAGUUUCUUUUCGACAACCACAAGCGCAAAAGCUAUUGUCAAAAAGAUGGGUACAGAAGUUGCACAGCAUCUUUUAGCGCAUGCCUACCAGUUUCGUUACAUAUCUUCAGGUUUGCCUGUCUGUUCAAAGUGACUCAAGCGAUUCUACUGCUACAACCGAAAAGAUUGGAGCAAGUCUCCAAGAGAUAUCUUGCAACUUCAUAUCUGCUUUUCAAAAUCUCAGAAAAGUUGCCCCGAAUAUCCAGAUCUCGCCAUUUGAGAAAGAAGCUCUGUUUACUGCUGCAACGUUGUCUAGGAAAUUGAAGAAUGAAGAAAGAUAGACUAUGGCAUGAUUCAGAUGGUGUGACUCUAGCUCGCGGUAUAAUCCAAAAAGCCUAUUUUGGCCUCUCUAUGGCAUGAUUAUGUCUCCCUGUACAUAUGUGAUAUGGCUUUAUUAUCUAUCUAUAUCCCCUCCUAGUAGCGUGUACUGCAAAGCUGAAGAUACAGAGCUUAUGAAUCUAUUCUACAUAACUUAUGCA